UCACAGAUGUGAGCAGAGUUCUCACUGAAGUCUGUAACCUGUCUCAGCUGUCUCCCACUCUCACAUUUCAGGCUCGUGAGGGGCUUGAGGAAGAAAAUCUUACUGCACUUCACAUUACCCUCUCUGUAAGAGGUUUUUGUUCUGUCUUUUGGUGAUUUCACAACUGAGAUGAACUUCUCCAUAAUGUUCCUGCUGUUUCUUCCUGCGGUUCUUCCUUUAUCACUAUUGGAAAAGGGCUGCUACUUCUAUCUCUGCCCCAAAAGAUGCACGCAUCACCUCACGGUGCACUCAGCCUCUUGAAGGUCAUUGCCUAGAAACCAGAUCUUGGAGUUGUUAGAAGUACAAUGUGCUGCUGCACUGUUUGACCAAUUGCAAAAGUUUUGUUUUGAACUCUAAUGAGUCUUUGCUUAUCUCCUUUCUUAGCACUACCCAUUGUUAAUUAAUUCAUCUUUGACAGUACCUCUGUAUGUGCUUUUAUAAACUCACUUGUAUUAUUUUAUAUUGCAUUUUAUUUGUACUCAGUCUGUUCUUUGUUUCAGAGCAUGGAGUUGCCAUAAAGAAUUAAUUUGAGGAAUACUUUUUCACCCUUUACAUAGUGUUCACACUGAGGAUCUGUGAUCUACAGUAAUUCUUAUUCAUUUGGAAUAUAGUAAUUUGUUCUUGUCAGCACAGGGGCUGGUUUGUUGUUUUAAAUUGCUGACUUCUGUUUUUGUUGGCGUGCUCCCCAAUACAAAUUGAACAUCUAACAAAAAUCUAUUUGUAUGACAGUUGAGUCUAGAUAGGUGCUCGUACAAUUUGGGGUCCCCAAGAUAAAAGUUGACUGAAUGCCAAGAUUUUAGCAGUGCUUGUAUGUGCAGAUAACGGAGGUAAUCCAUAUUCCUCAGGUCUGUAAAUCAAACAAAGAAGAAAUACGUAUGCACACCAUUCUCUUUGAGAUAGUGGGCUUGUAUUUUCUUCUUAAUAACAAUGGGGAAUAUCUAACCUCUGAGAACAAUGGAAAGCAGACACAAGGGAUGUUCCUAUGUAAAAUUAGACAGAUUAGAAGAUUCUUAGAAAAAUAUAGAAUGUGUCUCUCCACCCUUAGCAGAUAAUGCCCAAAUAAAUUAUUCGGUGGAUCUGGUUUGUGUCUCUUUUUGGCAAUUUCUGCUCUUAGGGAAUUUUGUUUGUUUUAGAACCUAAUUAAGAUUAUUAUAGAUCUGAAAGUUGAUACAUAUUAAAAUACUAUAGUGGAAUAGGAAAUCCAGCCUCUAGGUCUUGGCUGUAUUUUUCAGGCUGAUAGAGCCCAGCGUGACCUCUUUAGUGGCCAUCUAUGGAACUGUCAUUUAGGAAAACACGUAUUGGUUUCUAAUGACCUUCUGCAAAGAUUUUUCUGGGAUAAAAUUACAUACUAAAAUAUUUUCUUCCUGAUGAGGUUAUCAUAUCAAUAAUGUGAAAUCCAAACUAAGAAUCUUAGUGGCCUCCCAACCAUCUUUGGCAGUUUUUAAGGUGCAAUAACUGCUUUUCAUCCUCAGCCAGCUAUAUGCAACUAUGCAUCCCAUUUUUGCUUUUUAGCUUUGGAAUCUCCUACAUUUUGGAGUUAAGACCCUGGUGUUGCUCUUCUAGUUAAAUGUAGGACAAGGUUUUCCCAGGUUGACAGCCAUUCAAGCCAUGAAUUUAGUCUUGAAAACUUCUUGUCAGUCACAAUGCGUUACUCCAAGGGCUUCUUUAUGGGCAAUUGGUUUACACUUGGAAAUUUUCAGGAUAUCUUUGAUUGUGAAAUCACUUUUUUAUAGACAAAUGUGUUAGUUAAUUUCUUACCCAUUUAAUUACAAGCAUCUCCUGAAAGACCUUAGUUCCUGCUUUUUUCUCUCAACUCUGUAGAUUUCUAAUCUGUUUGAUUCAAAUGCUGUGAUCAUGCAAUUUUUAUGCCUUGCAAAAUCUAGGUAAAUAA